GACGAACGCUGGCGGCGUGCUUAACACAUGCAAGUCGAACGGAAAGGCCCUGCGUGUGUGGGGUGCCCGAGUGGCGAACGGGUGAGUAACACGUGAGUAACCUGCUCUUGACUUUGGGAUAACUUCAGGAAACUGGGGCUAAUACCGGAUAGGAGCUCCUGCUGCAUUGUGGGGGUUGGAAAGUUGCGGCUGUCGGGGCUGGACUGGCGGCUUAUCAGCUUGUUGGUGGGGUAGUGGCUGACCAAGGCAUAGACGGGUACGCGGCCCGAGAGGGUGACCGGCCUCAUUGGGACUGAGAUACGGACCAGUCUGCUACGGGAGGCAGCAGUGGGAAGUAUUGCACAGCGGGCCGGAGCCUGUGGCAGCAGCGUCGGGUGCGGAAUGCCGGCCUUCGGGUUGAGAACAGCAUUCGGCUGUGACGCAGCGUGAGUGACGGUACUGAAUGAAGAAGCACCGGCUAACUACGUG
rnacentral:rRNA from 1 species